GAUUGACCAAUGUCGUGUUGCAGGGAGCAAUGUUCUGCUUUUAUCGGCUUGCAGCAGCUUCGAGAACAGGAACUACCGAUUCUUCGAUGAGACGGCGUCGCCGAUAAGCGUUGUCUCCGGAAUUGGCACGACCUGUGCAACGAUUAUCUUUGCCCUCGCCGUAACUUGCCGGCCUCGCACAAUCAGGAACAGAAAAGGCACUGCGUGCAUGAUUGAGAAUAGGAGAAGUUUGGCUUUUCUCUUCUGUUUCGGGUCAUAUGGUGCUUCUCUACGGUCAACAUUAGUCAAAAGCUUCAAGCUUCAAGUGCAAACAAGUAUUGGGUGGAGCAGGUGGUUAAAUUAGCUGAUAAAGAAAGAGAAAACCUGGAGGUUAUAAGAAGGAGUCUAAGUCAGACAUGAGUGAAAACAGUUGCAUUGAUCGUUUGUUUGUUGCUUAUUCUGAUAAAAUGCUUAAUCUGAUGCUGAUAAUGUCACAAUUGUGAAUAAGUUUUCGUUGUUAUUUCAAGGUUUAAGAGACCCAAAUCCAUAUGAAACCUUAAAACAAGCACCAAGAGUGAAAGAUGUUUGAAUGUUGGACAUCAAUACAAGUUUAAUCUUUAGCUUUUACAUGCUACAAAUCAAUAAAGAAAGGGAUGUGGUGGUUGAACGACUGUGUCAUCGAUCAUGCUGAUUUACAGAUGGGAUAACGAUAUGAUUAGUUUAGUUGCCAAGGAGCAAAAGGAGAGGAAGAAUGCAAUUUCUUUUAAGGCCGAUGAAACAACAGAAGGUAAAAUUAGGUAGUUCAUGCCCAAGUUAACAGAAUUGGAUGUCGUUGGUAGACAUAUCUUCGAAUUCAGUGGGAUUAGUGUGUUUUUCAGUUGUUAAUGAACACCUUAAAAAUAUGCGGUUAAUAUUACAGUUUUGGACUUCCAAGUAUAAGUGGGAAAUGUGGAUCCGAACGACAUUUUUCAUCCUGGUAGAUAUCCUUUCUUAAAAUUUGUCUAGUAGUGGUUGUUUAAUAUCUCAUAUUUGUUAUGAAGGAUCUCUAUUCAAUCCAUUGUCGGUUUGCUUACUUCA